AUGGGGAGGAAAAAGAAGAAGCAGAUGAAGCCGUGGUGCUGGUAUUGUAAUAGAGAUUUUGACGAUGAAAAGAUCCUCAUUCAACACCAGAAAGCCAAACAUUUUAAAUGUCACAUAUGCCAUAAGAAGCUUUAUACUGGUCCAGGUCUGGCCAUCCACUGUAUGCAGGUUCACAAAGAAACUAUAGAUGGUGUUCCCAAUGCAAUACCUGGCAGAACAGACAUUGAGCUGGAAAUUUACGGAAUGGAGGGUAUUCCAGAGAAAGAUAUGGAAGAAAGGAGACGUGUGCUCGAGCAGAAAACACAAGAAAACCAGAAAAAGAAACAGAACCAAGAUGACACAGAUGAGGAUGAGGAGGACGAAGAGGCAGGACCCUCUUUCCAGCAGCCAGCAGCACAGCCCCAGGCUGCGUACGCCCCUAUGACGCAACCUGGGAUGGCCCCGGUGCCAGCACCAGGGAUGCCACCUGGGAGCUACUCAGGAAUGCCUCCAAUGAUGCCUGGUGUCCCUCCCAUGAUGCCAGCGAUGCCCCCAGUCAUGCCAGGAAUGCCACCAGGCAUGAUGCCAAUGGGUGGAAUGAUGCCACCUGGACCAGGAAUGCCUCCUAUGAUACCAGGGAUGCCACCAGGCAUGCCUCCUCCUAUGGGUCAUCGUCCAGGCAUGAACCACCUUCCUCAGGCCCCAGCUUCCACGGCUCCUAGCAUGAUGCCCAGAGCAGCAACUCCUGCAUCCACAGUGGCUGCUCCUCAGCCUGCAGUCACCAAGCCCUUAUUCCCUAGUGCUGGACAGAUGGGGACUCGAGCUCCCAGCACAAGCUCAGCCUCCUCCAGUGUGGACACUUUGUCAGCAACCUCUAAACCGCUGUCGCAAGCUCAGCAGGGUGUGUCUGGAGCGGCAGCAGGCCCCUCUGCCUCUUCCUCUGCUGCUCCAAAAGCCACAUUCCCAGCCUACAGCCAACCGAUAUCCCCUGCUGCCAACACAGGCAGCACUGUGGCCAAACCUGCCACCCCAGUCACAAGUAAGCCUGCCACCCUCACCACCACCAGUGCAACCAGUAAGUUGAUCCACCCUGAUGAGGAUAUCUCUCUGGAGGAGCUGCGUGCUCAGCUCCCACGCUACCAGUGUAAAAUGCCCAGCACAGGGCAGGCCCACAUCAGUGCCCCCCCAGUUGGACCAAUGGGGGGAGUGAUGCCCUCUCAGCAGGGAAUUGCUUCACAGCAGCCGGGAGUCAGGCAUCCAAUGCACGGGCCAUACGGUGCUCCACCACAGGCAGUACCUGGCUAUGUGCCAGGGGGGAUGCCAACAUAUGGGCAAGGCCCCCCAAUGGUUCCUCCUUUCCAGGGAGCCCCACCGCGGCCACCCAUGGCCAUGAGACCCCCUGUAAUGUCCCAGGGAGGCAGAUAUUGAAGCUCCACCACCAGUCUUCAAUAGGUUUUUAGAAGUGAAGUUUAGUAAAUAUGGUUCGUAAUAAUUUGAAGCGGCUGGAGUUACGUGAACAGUACAGCACCUUUUAUCCAGCGAUGCCAUGGGACCGGCUGAGGUAGAGUCUCACUGGUGCCCUGUACAGGCCGAGGCAAGUCUCAUUUUCUCUCUUUAAUCACAUACGUGGGGGCCCUCACAGCUUUUUAUGGCUGUUGGACUUUAAUGUCCCCAAACUUGUAGCAGGUUUGGUGAUGGCCCCUAUUCUUAUUCAAUUUAGGUAAAUCCAUUAACUAACGUCUUCUGCGUUUAUUUCCAAAGUGAUGCACCGGUUUGGAUUUUGGCUCAGCGGGUAUACAGUUAUUCUUUUCUCAGAGCUGUCUUAUGUGUAGGGGAAUAUGGGGCUGGUUGUCACACUUCUUGCUCUGGCUCGUUUAUCUCACAAACCUAGAAAGCUCAUUAUGUCCUGCGUGAAAAGAGUAGGGCCUUACUGGUUUAAUAAGGUACUAGGUUUUGUAUACACAUCUUGUGACAACCAACCCAAGGCAGGCAUUAUACUUUUUUUUUUUUUUUUUUUUUUUUUCCCCCCGAAAAUGCUUGAUAAUGAAUGACUAUGACAAAGUUUAUUUCCCAUCAAAGAGAAAUGUUUAACAACAGUUAGACACUGUCUUCUAAAAUAUUUCUAAAUUAAGGCCCAAUCCCAUUUCUUCUUUUUACCCCUACUCCUUGUUUUCUAGUGUCACCCCAGUCCCUUGGAACUGAAGUUACAAGGGGUAGUGGUUGAAAUCGUGCCCUUCGAAUUGGGACCCUCAAAAAAAUAAACACCUUGCUUCAUUAAAAGGCUACUAGCUGUCUUCUGCAGGUGUCCCGGCCUGACUUCAGUGAUGGCAGAGAAGGGAAAAGUUCAGCUCCUCACUGCUGGGCUUUAGUUACAUUUAGGGCAUCAUAUGACUUCAAAGAGGGGUACAGCUAUUUAUUACAUCGCCCACCCCUAAUGUGUUGAUGUGAAGCUGAAGUCGGCUAUUCACCAGCUUCUUGUUGGAAUUUUCCUGUUCCACCUUAAAUGGUGCAGCAGUUACAUUCUGGCGCUUCAGGAUUCAGAACUUCUGGACUAUAUAAGGUGGAACUGGAAAGUUAGCUAACUAGCUCUGAGACAUUAGCAUUCUAUUGGUGAUUUUUAUGCUCGUUCUGAAGAAAACGAACAUAAUACAUUGAAAUGACAAACUAAGUACAGCGGUUAUUAGAAUUUUUUUUUUUUUUUAAGCGUAAAUAUUAAUGGAGAAAAUACUUAAAUAUCUGGGUUUCUUUGGUCACUCAUCUUGCAGGUUUUUCUUUUUUCUCAUUACACUCCGUUUGGAGCUGUGCCUGUGAAAAAUCUCUGUUUGGAGGGCCAUGUAGCCCGAACACUUCGCCUUACCCCUCUAUCGCACCAAAAAUCGGGACACCGUAACCCUAGACGCGAGGGAUGAGAUGGGACUGGGCCUAAGUGUGACAGCUAACCCAGUAAAACAGGCAUGUCCAGUCUUAUCCACAGAGGGCUGCUGUGGCUGCAGGUUUUCAUUCCAGCAAAGCAGGAGACCCACCUGAUCAGCAGUUUGAAGAAUGGAACCAACUGAUUAAACAAGUGGAAUCAAUUGAGCUUCAGCUUGUUUUGAGUGGAAACCUGCCGCCACGCCGGCCCUUUGUGGAUAAGAUUAGACACCUAUGCUAUAAAGCUACUUCUCCAGUACUGCUGAAGGGCAUGCUAGUGACCCUCAUACUUGCACUGACACUGCAUUUUUGUCCUCCUUUUAGUGACCAAGAUCAUUUUAUGGUGCUUUCAUAACCUCCUCAUUAUUAUCAGAUUUUUACUUUGGUUUAAUGAAAGAGAAACUGACCUCAGGUUGAAGGUCCUGCGGUUGAAGAGAAGCUACCCUCUGCCCUCAAAAUAUGACACUUCACACUAGUAUUUCAAGACAACUCUACCUGGAAUUACCAGAUAGUAGUGCUGUGACAACCAACCUCAUGUUCUCCUAAAUGUGCCUUUCGCACCUUUUAUCUGUAUUCUCUCCCCUUUAUUUUUUAAUACAUCAAAACUUUCAAACAUUGCUGAUCUAGAUUGCCAUAAACUUUAAUAUUAUUGGAAGUUAUUUGACGAGUGGUUUGCAUAAUAUCAGGUGUUAACAGUUCAUUUAGCCCACCUGAGUCCAGUGGUAAGUACAGGAAUUUGGAUGUUUGUGCAGAUGGACUGUGUAACAAUUCCAUUUUUUGUAAAAAUGCUGUGCUACUACAAAAGCUUUUAAAGCCCCAGGGAACCUAAGUCUGUGUUUUCUUUAAGCAAGUUAAAGGAUGUUCUCUCCAAUGUUGACUAAAUGGCAGCCUUGAUCUUCCAAUCACACAUACAUAAGCAGUAAUCCCAGCAAUCACAAAGCUGAUAUGUUGUCCUGUUUGCAAAGCUUUUUCAAAACUCUUCUCCUAGUCUUUGUGUUUGAGCUGGACAAACUUGCAGUGUGAAAGCUGACAACCACAUGAAAGCUAAACUAACAUCCUAGAUCAUCUGCCUGUCGCCUCUCCAUCUGUUUGUUCAGCUGGCCACGGAAGCAUUCCCUGGAAGAACUUCCAGAAAAAUGAACAAGAACUUUAUCUUUUUUAAGACAUGUGAACUGCAUAUCGCUGCUGUCGGAACAAAACCUCGUGUCUCGUUUUUCAGUUUUAGGCAUCAUUUAAAAAUACCUGUUGGUAUUUUAGAUUGUAUGUAAAUUUUAUGAUGAAUGAACCAAAAGAAAU